UUACCGAGUUUACAACUCCCAAACCCCUGUGAACAUACCACUUGUUGCCUCGGCGGAUCAGCCCGCUCCCGGUAAAACGGGACGGCCCGCCAGAGGACCCCUAAACUCUGUUUCUAUAUGUAACUUCUGAGUAAAACCAUAAAUAAAUCAAAACUUUCAACAACGGAUCUCUUGGUUCUGGCAUCGAUGAAGAACGCAGCAAAAUGCGAUAAGUAAUGUGAAUUGCAGAAUUCAGUGAAUCAUCGAAUCUUUGAACGCACAUUGCGCCCGCCAGUAUUCUGGCGGGCAUGCCUGUUCGAGCGUCAUUUCAACCCUCAAGCACAGCUUGGUGUUGGGACUCGCGUUAAUUCGCGUUCCUCAAAUUGAUUGGCGGUCACGUCGAGCUUCCAUAGCGUAGUAGUAAAACCCUCGUUACUGGUAAUCGUCGCGGCCACGCCGUUAAACCCCAACUUCUGAAUGUUGACCUCGGAUCAGGUAGGAAUACCCGCUGAACUUAAGCAUAUCAAUAAG
rnacentral:rRNA from 1 species